AAACUUAUACUCUAGAAAAACACACACACUCUCUCUCUCUCUCUCCCUCUCUCUCUCUCUCUCUCUCUCUCUCUCUCUCUGAAUUCACCCUAGAUAUAACGAGGUACAUAAGUUGUUCAUGGAAUACAAUUCUCCCAUUUUGAUGGUAAUAAGAAAUUCUAUGUUUGUUAUAUUGUCUUUUAUAUCCUGAACAAUAGGUAUGCAUUCAUUGCCUAGUCUAAUCUGUCA
rnacentral:lncRNA from 1 species